UACGAAGGGGGCUAGCGUUGUUCGGAAUUACUGGGCGUAAAGCGCGCGCAGGCGGUCUUCCAAGUCAGUGGUGAAAGCCCGGAGCUCAACUCCGGAACUGCCAUUGAAACUGUUAGACUUGAGGGCGAGAGAGGUGAGUGGAAUUCCCAGUGUAGAGGUGAAAUUCGUAGAUAUUGGGAAGAACACCGGUGGCGAAGGCGGCUCACUGGCUCGUUUCUGACGCUCAGGCGCGACAGCGUGGGGAUCAAACAGG
rnacentral:rRNA from 1 species